rnacentral:lncRNA from 1 species
GCGCAGUUACUGAUCCUGUUGCUGGCUUUUUUAUUAGCAAAAGUAAAUGGACAAAAAUUGGCCGGCUUAUGCCUUGGAUGUUGGGGUGUACGCCCUUCACGAUUGUGUCCUAUUUCUUCAUGUGGUACUUGCCUCCUUUUGUAGCAGGAAGAGUCGUGUGGUACCUGACUUUCUAUUGUCUUUUCCAAGCAUUGACCACAUUAUUCCAAGUACCGUAUUCUGCUCUCACCAUGUUUCUCA